rnacentral:rRNA from 1 species
GAUGAACGCUGGCGGCGUGCCUAAUACAUGCAAGUCGAGCGAACAGACGAGGAGCUUGCUCCUCUGACGUUAGCGGCGGACGGGUGAGUAACACGUGGAUAACCUACCUAUAAGACUGGGAUAACUUCGGGAAACCGGAGCUAAUACCGGAUAAUAUAUUGAACCGCAUGGUUCAAUAGUGAAAGACGGUUUUGCUGUCACUUAUAGCUGGAUCCGCGCCGCAUUAGCUAGUUGGUAAGGUAACGGCUUACCAAGGCAACGAUGCGUAGCCGACCUGAGAGGGUGAUCGGCCACACUGGAACUGAGACACGGUCCAGACUCCUACGGGAGGCAGCAGUAGGGAAUAUUCCGCAAUGGGCGAAAGCCUGACGGAGCAACGCCGCGUGAGUGAUGAAGGUCUUCGGAUCGUAAAACUCUGUUAUUAGGGAAGAAAAAAUGUGUAAGUAACUAUGCACGUCUUGACGGUACCUAAUCAGAAAGCCACGGCUAACUACGUG